GACGAACGCUGGCGGCGUGCUUAACACAUGCAAGUCGAACGGAAAGGCCCUGCUUUUGUGGGGUGCUCGAGUGGCGAACGGGUGAGUAACACGUGAGUAACCUGCCCUUGACUUUGGGAUAACUUCAGGAAACUGGGGCUAAUACCGGAUAGGAGCUCCUGCUGCAUGGUGGGGGUUGGAAAGUUUCGGCGGUUGGGGAUGGACUCGCGGCUUAUCAGCUUGUUGGUGGGGUAGUGGCUUACCAAGGCUUUGACGGGUAGCCGGCCUGAGAGGGUGACCGGCGACAUUGGGACUGAGAUACGGCCCAGACUCCUACGGGAGGCAGCAGUGGGGAAUAUCGCACAAUGGGCGGAAGCCUGAUGCAGCAACGCCGCGUGCGGGAUGACGGCCUUCGGGUUGUAAACCGCUUUCGCCUGUGACGAAGCGUGAGUGACGGUAAUGGGUAAAGAAGCACCGGCUAACUACGUG
rnacentral:rRNA from 1 species